rnacentral:rRNA from 1 species
AGAGUUUGAUCAUGGCUCAGGACGAACGCUGGCGGCGUGCUUAACACAUGCAAGUCGAGCGGUAAGGCCUUUCGGGGUACACGAGCGGCGAACGGGUGAGUAACACGUGGGUGAUCUGCCCUGCACUUCGGGAUAAGCCUGGGAAACUGGGUCUAAUACCGGAUAUGACCUCCUAUCGCAUGGUGGGUGGUGGAAAGAUUUAUCGGUGCAGGAUGGGCCCGCGGCCUAUCAGCUUGUUGGUGGGGUAAUGGCCUACCAAGGCGACGACGGGUAGCCGACCUGAGAGGGUGACCGGCCACACUGGGACUGAGACACGGCCCAGACUCCUACGGGAGGCAGCAGUGGGGAAUAUUGCACAAUGGGCGAAAGCCCGAUGCAGCGACGCCGCGUGAGGGAUGACGGCCUUCGGGUUGUAAACCUCUUUCAGCAGGGACGAAGCGCAAGUGACGGUACCUGCAGAAGAAGCACCGGCUAACUACGUGCCAGCCGCCGCGGUAAUUC